rnacentral:lncRNA from 1 species
CACUUGAACCCAGGAGGCGGAGGUUGCAGUGAGCUGAGAUUGCGCCACUGCACUCCUGGUUGACAGAGCAAGACUCACCUGGGUGACAGAGCAAGACUCUGUCUCAAAAAAAAAUUGUUAAAGCUUGCAGUGUGUUUGUAUCAUGUUUCUGGUCUUUGCUAUAUUUUUGUUUAAGGUUGGUUAUGACUUUUUUUUAAGCAUGAAUUUUCCCCCUUCUGUUUUUGUUUAAUCUCAGCUCUCUAGAAAGUUAGAAAAGUCAGUUAUGGAGGUAAAUUUUGUACCUUGUAGCCCUUUUACCUCCGAUUUAAAGUGAAGCCACAUUCUUCCCUUUACUACUUCCAUUUUAAAAUUAGUCAAACCAACAAUGACUUACUGAUUUCCUUCUAUGUAAGAGUCGUUGUGCUUGGUGUACUGUGUGGAAGUUGGCUCCUUGUUUUCUGGAUGCUUGUCAUGUUUAUUUGGAGUAUAAUACACAUCCUUUCCUCUUUCUUUUCUCUCUCA